CGGCUCAUCACAUCCUGGGGCUGAAGUAGGUCCCAAGGGUAUGGCUGUUCGCCAUUUAAAGUGGUACGCGAGCUGGGUUUAGAACGUCGUGAGACAGUUCGGUCCCUAUCUGCCGUGGGCGCUGGAGAACUGAGGGGGGCUGCUCCUAGUACGAGAGGACCGGAGUGGACGCAUCACUGGUGUUCGGGUUGUCAUGCCAAUGGCACUGCCCGGUAGCUAAAUGCGGAAGAGAUAAGUGCUGAAAGCAUCUAAGCACGAAACUUGCCCCGAGAUGAGUUCUCCCUGAGACUUUAGGUCUCCUGAAGGAACGUUGAAGACGACGACGUUGAUAGGCCGGGUGUGUAAGCGCAGCGAUGCGUUGAGCUAACCGGUACUAAUGAACCGUGAGGCUUAACCUUAC
rnacentral:rRNA from 1 species